rnacentral:rRNA from 1 species
GGGGAAUCUUCCGCAAUGGACGAAAGUCUGACGGAGCAACGCCGCGUGAGUGAUGACGGCCUUCGGGUUGUAAAGCUCUGUUAAUCGGGACGAAAGGCCUUCUUGCGAAUAGUUAGAAGGAUUGACGGUACCGGAAUAGAAAGCCACGGCUAACUACGUGCCAGCAGCCGCGGUAAUACGUAGGUGGCAAGCGUUGUCCGGAAUUAUUGGGCGUAAAGGGCGCGCAGGCGGCUUCUUAAGUCUGUCUUAAAAGUGCGGGGCUUAACCCCGUGAUGGGAUGGAAACUGGGAAGCUCAGAGUAUCGGAGAGGAAAGCGGAAUUCCUAGUGUAGCGGUGAAAUGCGUAGAUAUUAGGAAGAACACCAGUGGCGAAGGCGACUUUCUGGACGAAAACUGACGCUGAGGCGCGAAAGCCAGGGGAGCGAACGGGAUUAGAUACCCCGGUAGUCCUGGCCGUAAACGAUGGGUACUAGGUGUAGGAGGUAUCGACCCCUUCUGUGCCGGAGUUAACGCAAUAAGUACCCCGCCUGGGGAGUACGACCGCAAGGUUG